ACGGUGCUGAAGUGACAAAUGCCCUGCUUCCAGGAAAAGCCUCUAAGCAUCAGGUAACAUCAAAUCGUACCCCAAACCGACACAGGUGGUCAGGUAGAGAAUACCAAGGCGCUUGAGAGAACUCGGGUGAAGGAACUAGGCAAAAUGGUGCCGUAACUUCGGGAGAAGGCACGCUGACAUGUAGGUGAAGCCCCUGCGGGUGGAGCUGAAGUCAGUCGAAGAUACCAGCUGGCUGCAACUGUUUAUUAAAAACACAGCACUGUGCAAACACGAAAGUGGACGUAUACGGUGUGACGCCUGCCCGGUGCCGGAAGGUUAAUUGAUGGGGUUAUCGCAAGAGAAGCUCCUGAUCGAAGCCCCGGUAAACGGCGGCCGUAACUAUAACGGUCCUAAGGUAGCGAAAUUCCUUGUCGGGUAAGUUCCGACCUGCACGAAUGGCGUAAUGAUGGCCAGGCUGUCUCCACCCGAGACUCAGUGAAAUUGAACUCGCUGUGAAGAUGCAGUGUACCCGCGGCAAGACGGAAAGACCCCGUGAACCUUUACUACAGCUUGACACUGAACAUUGAGCCUUGAUGUGUAGGAUAGGUGGGAGGCUUUGAAGCGUGGACGCCAGUCUGCGUGGAGCCAACCUUGAAAUACCACCCUUUAAUGUUUGAUGUUCUAACCUGGCGCCCUGAUCGGGCGUGGGGACAGUGUCUGGUGGGUAGUUUGACUGGGGCGGUCUCCUCCCAAAGUGUAACGGAGGAGCACGAAGGUCAGCUAAUCCUGGUCGGACAUCAGGAGGUUAGUGCAAUGGCAUAAGCUGGCUUGACUGCGAGAGUGACGGCUCGAGCAGGUGCGAAAGCAGGUCAUAGUGAUCCGGUGGUUCUGUAUGGAAGGGCCAUCGCUCAACGGAUAAAAGGUACUCCGGGGAUAACAGGCUGAUACCGCCCAAGAGUUCAUAUCGACGGCGGUGUUUGGCACCUCGAUGUCGGCUCAUCACAUCCUGGGGCUGAAGUAGGUCCCAAGGGUAUGGCUGUUCGCCAUUUAAAGUGGUACGCGAGCUGGGUUUAGAACGUCGUGAGACAGUUCGGUCCCUAUCUGCCGUGGGCGCUGGAGAAUUGAGGGGGGCUGCUCCCAGUACGAGAGGACCGGAGUGGACGCAUCACUGGUGUUCGGGUUGUCAUGCCAAUGGCACUGCCCGGUAGCUAAAUGCGGAAGAGAUAAGUGCUGAAAGCAUCUAAGCACGAAACUUGCCCCGAGAUGAGUUCUCCCUGAGACUAUAAGUCUCCUGAAGGAACGUUGAAGACGACGACGUUGAUAGGCCGGGUGUGUAAGCGCAGCGAUGCGUUGAGCUAACCGGUACUAAUGAACCGUGAGGCUUAACC
rnacentral:rRNA from 1 species